rnacentral:rRNA from 1 species
UACGUAGGGGCCGAGCGUUGUCCGGAGCUACUGGGCGUAAAGGGCCAGUAGGCGGCCAACUAAGUCGGAUGUGAAAUCCCCAGGCUUAACCUGGGAACUGCAUCCGAUACUGGAUGGCUUGAGUUCGGUAGGGGAGACUGGAAUUCCUGGUGUAGCGGUGAAAUGCGCAGAUAUCAGGAGGAACACCGAUGGCGAAGGCAGGUCUCUGGGCAUUAACUGACGCUGAGGAGCGAAAGCAUGGGGAGCGAACAGG